rnacentral:piRNA from 1 species
AGGAUGUACUGAAAUUAGUAGAAG